rnacentral:rRNA from 1 species
CAGACUCCUACGGGAGGCAGCAGUGGGGAAUUUCCGCAAUGGGCGCAAGCCUGACGGAGCAACGCCGCGUGUGGGAAGAAGGCUCUUGGGCUGCCAACCACUUUUCUCAGGGAAGAAGUCCUGACGGUACCUGAGGAAUCAGCCUCGGCUAACUCCGUGCCAGCAGCCGCGGUAAUACGGAGGAGGCAAGCGUUAUCCGGAAUUAUUGGGCGUAAAGCGUCCGCAGGGGGCACUUCAAGUCUGCUGUCAAAGGUCGGAGCUUAACUCCGGUUCGGCAGUGGAAACUGGAGUGCUAGAGGGCGACAGGGGUAGAGGGAAUUCCCAGUGUAGCGGUGAAAUGCGUAGAGAUUGGGAAGAACACCGGUGGCGAAAGCGCUCUACUGGGUCGCACCUGACCCUCAGGGACGAAAGCUAAGGUAGCGAAAGGGAUUAGAUACCCCUGUAGUCUUAGCCGUAAACGAUGGAUACUAGGCGUGGUUUGUAUCGACCCAAGCCGUGCCGAAGCUAACGCGUUAAGUAUCCCGCCUGGGGAGUACGCACGCAAGUGUGAAACUCAAAGGAAUUGACGGGGGCCCGCACAAGCGGUGGAGGAUGUGGUUUAAUUCGAUGCAACGCGAAGAACCUUACCAGGGCUUGACAUCCCGCGAAUCUUGCUGAAAGGCGAGAGUGCCUUCGGGAGCGCGGAGACAGGUGGUGCAUGGCUGUCGUCAGCUCGUGUCGUGAGAUGUUGGGUUAAGUCC